AGAGUGAACGCUGGCGGCAGGCCUAACACAUGCAAGUCGAACGGCAGCACAGAGGAGCUUGCUCCUUGGGUGGCGAGUGGCGGACGGGUGAGGAAUACGUCGGAAUCUGCCUAUUUGUGGGGGAUAACGUAGGGAAACUUACGCUAAUACCGCAUACGACCUACGGGUGAAAGCGGAGGACCUUCGGGCUUCGCGCAGAUAGAUGAGCCGACGUCGGAUUAGCUUGUUGGCGGGGUAAAGGCCCACCAAGGCGACGAUCCGUAGCUGGUCUGAGAGGAUGAUCAGCCACACUGGAACUG
rnacentral:rRNA from 1 species